AUCAGUUACUCUUACCGAAAAACGACAACGCAUUUGAAAGAUGUCCUCAACAUCUGGUCACUGUCAGCUUUCUUGCUCUAACACAUAUCAGGGUUUUACCCAAUAAACCGGGUACCAUGAACGGGUAGAAAGCUUGUAAGUUUGGUUACAAAGAAAGCAAACUUUACCUUUCUAUCUCAUUCUUGCCCGCCCUACCAAAUGCCACUCUCUCUUUACUUGAGAUUGUCUGUUCUGCAGCCGAAUCAUGUUUUGAACCCAAUUUUAUGCCCACCUUCUACAAUGAUAGAAUUCAAUCAUCGGCCAAGUACAUUUCGACCAAAUUAUCCUGAAACCCCGGCCAAGAAGAUAUCUUGUUCAUUUUCUCAUUUUGAUACCUUGAGACUUAGACCUGUUGGAGUAUUUCAUAUCAAUGUUGAUGUAGGGGAGAUACCUGUUUUUAGCAAAUGUCAUCAGUCAAACGUUGGAAUAGAUUCGAUAGAGAUACAAACUUCUGAUGAGAAGGGUCCAGUGGAUGCAUUUUCUGAUUCUAUUGACAGUGUAUAUAAUGAAGAUUAUAAGGAAAAGGAAAGAAGAAGAAAGAUAGGUUUGGCGAACAAAGGGAAUAUGCCAUGGAACAAAGGCAGAAAACAUACUGCUGAGACUCGUGCACGAAUCAAGCAGAGAACAAUUGAAGCUUUGAGUGACCCCAAGGUGAGGAGAAAGAUGUCUGAACAUCCCCAUUCUCAUAGUGAUGAGAGCAAAGCAAGAAUAGGAUCUGCAUUAAGACAUUCUUGGGCAAAGCGUUUAAGACGGAAAAGAAUGAGGGAAGAAUUCAUUCUGUCCUGGUCAGAAAACAUAGCUAAAGCUGCUAAGGAUGGAUGGAGUGACCAACAAGAACUAGAUUGGGAUAGCUACGAUAAGAUAAAACAAGAAAUGGCUGUCCAACAGCUUCAGCUGGAUGCAGAUAUGGCUAAGGCGAAAGAGAUGGCUAAAAUAAAUGCGGUUAAAGCAGCUGUGGCAAAAGCGGAGAAAGCAGCUCUGGCAAAAGCAGAGAAGAUGGCAAGGAUUGCUGAAAAGAGAAAAGAGCGUGAGGAGAAAGCAAAACAAAGAAGGGAAAUAAAGAGUAAGGCAAGAAGAAAAUCCAAAAAAAGUGGAGAGUUAUCAGUUCCCCAGGAGUUGAAACUUAAGCAGAGAUUAACAAAGAUUCACAAAAAGAAAUCCAUAACUGGCCUGGUUGCUACGCAAGGGGACAUGGUAAGUAUGCAUAUCCAAGCUUUGGAGAAGUUGGAUAUGAACCUAAUAAAGAAAGAAAAACAGCAGAGAGAAGUUUCACUUGCAGACCAGAUCCAAGCUGCCAAAAUCAGAAGAGCCCAGUCCAUGGCCAAGGAUGUGCUGGCAGGCUUAUCCAUUGUUCACCAGUUCAGUCUGAGAUCUGAAAACUGAACUUAGUAAAUGUUGGCAUCAAAGUAAACGACCAUAAAGGGGAAAUAUUAGUAGUUUGUGUUCUGAGAGAUGGGAAUGUUCAAUGGAACCCCACAUUUUCCAGGAAAAGAUGAAGCUGCACUGGGUUUGAUAUCUGGAUGUUUAGCAGCAGCAGACUUCACACACUCACAAGCUGCUUGUGUAUCUGCAGUGGUUGGAGUGAUUGCCUUGAUAUUCCUGACUCCAUCACAGCAUGCAGUUGAAGGAGUUCCCCAUAUUCCAAAUACGGCAUGCAAUGGCCCAAAGAUGCUGCACCUUGGCCGCAUUGGAUAGCUUCUUCAAGCUUCACCAUGAGGUAAACCAUGGCUACAGCCAACAUUAACAUCACGAUACUCUUCAUCUUUGUUAAAGUUUGGAAAGCUACUUGGCUAAAAGACUCUUUGAGCUUGUAUAUCACUGAACAAUAGCAGAGGGUGACGGGGUGUAUAUAUAUAUAUAUAUAUAUAUAUAUAUAUA